rnacentral:ncRNA from 2 species
AACCGCCGUAUACCGAACGGUACGUACGGUGGUGUGAGAAGACGGGGAUAAUCACCCCCUCCUACUCGAU